GAUGAACGCUGGCGGCGUGCUUAACACAUGCAAGUCGAACGAAGCACUUUAACCUGAUUCUUCGGAUGAAGGUUUUUGUGACUGAGUGUCGGACGGGUGAGUAACGCGUGGGUAACCUGCCUCAUACAGGGGGAUAACAGUUAGAAAUGACUGCUAAUACCGCACAAGACCACAGAGCCGCAUGGCUCGGUGGGUAAAACUCCGGUGGUAUGGGAGGGCCCCGCGUCUGGUUAGGUAGUUGGUGGGGUAACGGCCUAUCACACCAACGACCAGUAGCCGACAUGUGAGGGUGACCGGACACAUCGGGAGUGAGACACGGUCGAAAAUCCUACGGGAGGCAGGCGUGGGGAAUAUUGCACAAUGGGGGAAAUCCUGAUGCAGCGACGCUGCGUGAGCGAAGAAGUAGGGCGGUAUGUAAAGCUCUAUCAGCAGGGAAGAAAAUGACGGUACCUGACGAAGAAGCACCGGCUAAAUACGUG
rnacentral:rRNA from 1 species